rnacentral:snoRNA from 1 species
AAUCUAGGUUAUGGGCAUUGUCAGAGUAGACUCUUGUAUCGCUCACAAGCAUCUGAAGAACAUUCAGAGUCCAACUAUUGGAAUGUGGUAAUCUUUUCUAUAAGCUU